rnacentral:lncRNA from 1 species
AGCAGAUACUACAAACACUCCAAAUAUGACACCGUUUGGAGGGGAAGGAAGAGCGAAUGACCUCUUAAAGCUCUAUUCUGUUCCAUUCUGUUCAUAUUCUUUGGCCUUUUGUUUAGUUUGUAUUGUUGGUCAGGUCAGAAGACCUGAGUGUGGACUUUAAUCUACAAAAACACCCCAGCAACCACCUAGAAACCAUCUAAAACAAGCACCAUAGCAACCACCAAACACCCUAGCAACACCAACCCCACCGACACACACACACACACACACACACACACCCAAAAACACACUAGCAACCAGCUACAAACCAUAUAAAACAAACACCAUAGGACAACCACUAGACACCAUCUAAACAAACACCAAAAACCAUGGCAGCUACCUAGAACCCAUCUAAAAUAAACUCCAUAGCAAUCACCCAAAACACCCCAGCAACCACCAAAGGAACCAUCUAAACAACAACACAGCAACCGCCAAAAACACCCCAGGCAACCACCCAGGAACCAUCUAAACAAACACCAUAGCAACCACCCCAAACACCCCAGCAACCACCUAGAAACCAUCUAAAACAAACACCAAAAACCAUGGCAGCUACCUAGAAACCAUCUAAAACAAACUCCAUAGCAAUCACCCAAAACCACCCUAGCAGCCACCCAAAAACACCCCAGCAACCACCCAGGAACCAUCUAAAACAAACACCAUAGCAACCACCCCAAACACCCUAGUAACCACAUAGAAACCAUCUAAAACAAACACCAAAAACCAUGGCAGCUACCUAGAAACCAUCUAAAACAAACUCCAUAGCAAUCACCCAAAACACCCCAGCAACCACCCAGGAACCAUCUAAAACAAACACCAUGGCAACCACCCCAGCAACCACCUAGAAACCUAUUUAAAAUAAACAAUAUAUCAAUUACCCAAAACACCAUAGCAACCAGCCAAAAACACACUAGCAACCAGCUACAAACCAUAUAAAACAAACACCAUAGCAACCACCUAGAAACCAUCUAAAACAAACACCACAUCAACCACCCCAAACACCCUAGCAACCACCUAGAAACAAUCUAAAACAAACACCAAAACACCAUAGCAACCACUUAGAAACCACCUAAAACAAACAACACUGCAGACACCAAAACAGCCCAGCAACCACUCUACCCAGGUAACUACCCAAAACACUCAACCAACUACCAAACUGUUAUGGGAACCACCCAAAACACUGUAGCAACCAUAACAAAUCCUAAAACAUCCUAGCAACCAGUUUGAAGCCAGCCAAAACACUCUAGCAACCCAAAUCACCCUAUUAACCACCCAGAAUAUCAUAGCAAUCACACUAAACUCCCUAGAAACCACCAAAAACAUCCUAGCAACACCCUAGCAAUUACCUAGAUCAUCAUAAUUACCACCCAAAACACUAGUAAGCAACCACAAUACCCUUGGAAUCACCCAAACACCAUAGGAAUCUUCCCGAAUACCCUAGCAACCACCCAAAGCAUCCUAGCAACCACCAAAAACCUCCUAGCAACAACUCAGCAAUGACCUUGACCAUCAUAGUAACCACCCAAAAUUCUAGUAAGCAACCACAAUAACCUGGUAAUCACCCAAAUCAACUUAGCAACCACCCAGAAUAUCACAGUAAACACUCAAAACAUCCUAGCAACACCCUAGCUCUGGAUACAAUAAAAUAAUUGCAAUCAUUUAAAAUAAAUAAAUAAAAAUACGUACACACAUUAAAAUCUUAACAGAAUAAUACCUUAAAUAAAUAAAUAUCCAAACACCCUACAAACAACCCCAGAAUACCCUAGCAACCACCCAAAACAUCCUAGCAACACCCAAGCAAUGACCCAGAGCAUCAUAGGAAUGACCCAAUACCUUAAGCUACUACAACAACCUAGUAACCACCCAAAACAACUUAGCAACCACCCAGAAUAUCCUAAUAACCACCCAUAACACCCUAGUGUAGAACCAGUUGAAGCUGACAUUGUUACGUCUCUCAGAGCUGCUAAACGCCACAUUAGCCGUGUGAAGUGGGGUCAGAGGUCAGCAGCUCUGUAGUCCUGGGGGUUGAAGGUCACAAACAGACACUUUUCAGUUGUAGUCUUGGGUUUGAGCACUUGUAGUCUGUAUGACAAUUAGUUUUACACAGAAACAAUAGCCAUUUAUGGAAGAGCUGAGUAAACGUGUGUGUGUGUGUAUACAGGUUUAUAUAUCCUGGUGGGGACUUAAACCUGAAUACACAGAGACUCAUGGGGACUCGUGUCACUGUGGGAACCUAAAUUGAGGUCCCCAUGGGUACAAAAUCAUACAAAAUUAGUUUUCUGAGAAAGUAAAAAUGCAGAAAGUUUCCUGUGAGGGGUAUGUUUAGGUGUAGGGCAGUAGAAAAUACACUUAAUAAAAACACAGUACACAGUAUAAAAACCAUUACGCCUAUGGAGAGUUCCUACUAGGAUAGCUGUCCAGACUGUGUGUGUGUGAGAGAGUGUGGGAACUGGUAAUAAUAUUUCUGGCUCCACUUAAAGGGCCAAUCGUAACCUGAGAUGUAUCCAUAACCAAAUAA